GUUGGGACGCUGCAACAGUAUGCCAUUGUGGAGGGAGAAGUUGAUUUUGCUGGUGCUUUGCAAAGUGGUGGUGGAAAGGUUCCCUCUGGUGGAGUUGUAAGUAUAAAAUCCAAUAAAACGAAAGCAGAGAAGCAAGGGAAAAGGAAAGAUAAAGAUCAGAGCAGUAAAAAGCGAAGUAAAGAUGAUGGUUUCAAAUCAAAUAAAAAAAAGAAGGUUUAAACCAAUAAGCGUAACCAGCAGCAACCAUUACAAAUUGAGUUAAAAACGACAGAAAAAGAUUAAAA
rnacentral:misc_RNA from 1 species